rnacentral:rRNA from 1 species
GGGACACGUGGUAUCCUGUCUGAAUAUGGGGGGACCAUCCUCCAAGGCUAAAUACUCCUGACUGACCGAUAGUGAACCAGUACCGUGAGGGAAAGGCGAAAAGAACCCCGGCGAGGGGAGUGAAAAAGAACCUGAAACCGUGUACGUACAAGCAGUGGGAGCACGCUUAGGCGUGUGACUGCGUACCUUUUGUAUAAUGGGUCAGCGACUUAUAUUCUGUAGCAAGGUUAACCGAAUAGGGGAGCCGAAGGGAAACCGAGUCUUAACUGGGCGUUAAGUUGCAGGGUAUAGACCCGAAACCCGGUGAUCUAGCCAUGGGCAGGUUGAAGGUUGGGUAACACUAACUGGAGGACCGAACCGACUAAUGUUGAAAAAUUAGCGGAUGACUUGUGGCUGGGGGUGAAAGGCCAAUCAAACCGGGAGAUAGCUGGUUCUCCCCGAAAGCUAUUUAGGUAGCGCCUCGUGAAUUCAUCUCCGGGGGUAGAGCACUGUUUCGGCAAGGGGGUCAUCCCGACUUACCAACCCGAUGCAAACUGCGAAUACCGGAGAAUGUUAUCACGGGAGACACACGGCGGGUGCUAACGUCCGUCGUGAAGAGGGAAACAACCCAGACCGCCAGCUAAGGUCCCAAAGUCAUGGUUAAGUGGGAAACGAUGUGGGAAGGCCCAGACAGCCAGGAUGUUGGCUUAGAAGCAGCCAUCAUUUAAAGAAAGCGUAAUAGCUCACUGGUCGAGUCGGCCUGCGCGGAAGAUGUAACGGGGCUAAACCAUGCACCGAAGCUGCGGCAGCGACGCUGAUGCGUUGUUGGGUAGGGGAGCGUUCUGUAAGCCUGCGAAGGUGUGCUGUGAGG